AUAUGUUUAUACCUUGACCCACAGCCCGAACCACCGUCACGGGAAUGGAUGCCGACACUGAGUAGCAUGACGGCCACUAGCCGCAUGAUGGCUGCCUGCACGGCAGCAUCUGACCGAGGUUCCAUCAUCUUCCAUCGUUGACCAAUUGAUAUGGAGUGAAAUUAUCAUCAUUUGCCGAUGAACCUGGCCGUAACAUUGCCACCCGACGACAACCUCCGCCGGAACUUUGUUAUCCUCGCUACCUGAGUUGUCCGCGCUACCUAAGCCCCAGCAGUUUUCCAUACUAUAUUCUCCCGCACUUUGAAGAUUUCAGGCAUAAAAUGGCUAGAGUUAAAAAUGUUGGAUCCGGCAAGGGCAAUACAAUCAACCAAAUGAUAAAAAAAUAUAGGGUAUUGAGGGAAUGCCGUGUGACAAAAGUAGAUCAUUUCAGUAGCAUAUUACUGUUAGAAUUGGAUCUAAUCAUAUAUGAAUGCUAAUAUUUGAACGAGUUAGGUAGACUGCUUUGUUACUUUUAUAUGUGGUUAAAUUAAUCAUUUAUAUACGUCUAAACUUUAUGCUCUAAAGUUUCUGUACUGACAGUUUAAUGCAAAUGUCUUGACAUAUGAGACUCUUUAAGUAGUAGAAACUCAAGUUGGGAUAAUGUCUAGUGAGAGGUUGAAAUCUCAAACACUUGACGAUAUAUGUCUUGGCAAA